rnacentral:lncRNA from 1 species
CCGGACUUCUUCGACAAUGAGCUUCCUCAUUCAUCUAUCGGACUGCUCCAAAUGCCCUCUAAACUUCGCUAUCAGUCGAUUUUCUACAGUGAUCGACUAUUCUCUGAAUCUCUUCCAGACUUCUUCUGGCCACGGACGACUCUACUCCGAACUUCGUCCGGACUUCGUCAGUGUCCGAGCUUCUGCGACAAUGAGAUUUCUAUAGUAACCAGACUCCAUCCAAGUUUCUACGGC